rnacentral:rRNA from 1 species
GAUGAACGCUGGCGGCGUGCCUAAUACAUGCAAGUCGAGCGAACGGACCAGAACCUUGCUCCCCUGAUGUUAGCGGCGGACGGGAGAGUAACACGUGGAUAACCUACCUAUAAGACUGGGAUAACUUUGGGAAAUCGUAGCUUAUACCGGAUAAUAUUUUGAACCGCAUGGUUCAAAAGUGAAAGACGCUCUUGCUGUCACUUAUAGAUGGAUCCGCGCUGCAUUAGCUAGUUGGUAAGGUAACGGCUUAACAAGGCAACGAUGCAUAGCCGACCUGAGAGGGUGAUCGGCCACACUGGAACUGAGACACGGUCCAGACUCCUGCGGGAGGCAGCGGAACGGAAUCUUCCGCGAGGAGCGAGAGCCUGACGGAGCAACGCGGCGUGAGGACUGAUGGUCUUCGGAUCGUAAAGCUCUGUUAUUAGGGGAGAAGAUAUGUGUAAGUAACUGUGAACAUCUUGACGGUACCGGGUCAGAAAGCCCCGGCUAACUACGUG